CUUACAUGGACAUUCAAUUACAUGGUUACAUACAUAUGCACAUGUAUACAUACAUGUAUAUGCAUGUGUAUAUACAAGCUGAAAAGGAAUUUUUCACGGAUAAUAGUAGUCGGGAAAAAACAUGCUACUGUUGAACGAGAAGAGUACUAAUAUUCACACAUGUACAAGAAGAACUUAGUUAAAUACAGGAAUGAGGUCGAGGUCUGCACAGUAGUUUUGCAUUUUUGCAGUGGAUUAUUUCCACAUCCAUGUUGUUGUUGUUUUUCCAGAUCCCCCCCUCCCAAACUGUUGGGCAACAACCCCUCCUUUCUUUCCUGUGCACCCCCUACAAGGGGGAGGGAGGCCUUCAGACACAUAUGGGCAACAAUACAUAAAACAGUUACAACUUUAACACAACUGUAAAAGGAAAUGGCUUUCCCGAAUUUUUUGCAACACCCUACGUGCUUGCGAUUCUGGACAGACCACUGGUAUGUAAUAAGUAAGAUUGCUUGUACUUGCACAAGUGCUAAUCUCCUUCGCUUAAUGAAUAGCUUUUUGGUCAUUUUCUCAGCCACUACUGCCCAUGAUCAUCCGUUUUGAGCCUGCAUCGCCUUUGCGGCCAGCCAACAUCUUAUGGAACACACACAUGCAGAUAUAUGUAUAUGCAUUACCUACGAUGGGUUCUAACCAGGAAAAGAUGAUGCCCUGCUGAGACUAGUGACAUGUAUCCUACAAACAUUAUUUGUCUGCAUUUAACCACGUUUACCACUCUUCUACACACUGAAAGAGGGCAUCUUUACACUGUAAGCAAAGUGAGAGACAAAGCUUACAAGGUGCCCGUACUAUGUGACGAUACAGGAGAUAUUUUCUGCUAUUUGCAUGCGCACUUCAAAGCUCUUUCACCUGCGUCGAUAUGGCAGUUGUCGCGGAAGAAACAGAAUUACUGCAUAAUAAUAUCUGCGAGUCUCAUUAACAGGGGAUACAUGAUGCCUAGCCUGCAAGUGUUACAGCUAAAAAUUACAUCCUCAAGCGCACCCACCCACCCACACAUACAUACAUACAUACAUGCACAGAAAAAGGAAACGGGUAAUCUGAAAAGCUAGAAUGCUUCCACAAUUUCCUUGAGCAAUUGUCAAGGUUCUCAGACAAUCUUAAAGACCUUGAACCUUACUAAGUAUAUUCAGAUAGGAAAAACUAACUCUCUCUGCUUUUCCGUUUCAUCCCCUGUAGUGUGUGUGUGACUAUUUCAAAGCUGUAGACAAACCUGACUAAGAAAGUGUUAUCUAAGUUUCUACUUAAUCGUCUAUCUACAACUGCACUUGAAAUCAUUGGAGUUCACUGUAUAGAGUAUACACACAGCAAACUUAUGUGAAAAUGAUAGCCUUUGACAUGAAACGCAUGUUAUGAAAGUGUGGUGUACAAACCUAUUACGGAGCUUGUCCAAACUUUCAAAAUUGUAGUGUCAUCAAACAGAAGCCCUCUGGGACAAUAGUAUUUGUACAUUCAACCAGAACUAUGACGGGGGCACUGAAUGCAAAAUAAUGUGGUGGGCAAAGUCUCUGACAAAUAUUCUUGGAGAACAAACCCGCACAUCAAGUAUAGCACUCAUAUCAUGCUACGUAGGGCAUGCUCAGCUUUGAAGACCACACCUUGAGUACUUUUCCCGUUGACACUUUUUUUGAACAUUGCUCAUCAGUGUUGCCUUUCACAAACAGAGGAGAACAGAGCUUUUCUCCCGGGAAUACAAACAGUCAGCCAGUCCUUUCACAGAUGAAACUAAGCUGGGAAAGUAAAAGUGCUGUCCGGGUACAGAUUAUGGGAUGAAUGUUGUACCAGUCCUUUCCCCUUUAUGGCUGGCAGUAUAAAAACUCAAAGCAUGGCAGGGAUUGUGGCAGGGAUAGUGGCAGUGAACGUCAAGUUUCAGCUUUGAGACUUUUGCAAUGUCAUGAGAAUAUGAAGACAAAAAAGAGAAAACCAUUGCGAGAUUGAGCACGGGUAGGGGGUGGACAAGACAGUCUAGGAUGAGUCCUUUGCAGCUGAAUAUGUUGGAGCAGGAGAGAUAGUGUGCACGAGGAAUUCAGCGGCUGCUGAACGCCCGACAAAGCCAAACUUCACUCACCGGUAGCGUGGAACAGAUCAGUCUCAACGUACCAGCAGUUGAACAAUUUUUAAAAAGUCGUCGUACAAAGACCAAGAAAACAGAGGUGCAAACAAAUGCGACACCGAAAGAUGAAGUGAAAUGAAAAGGACUGGACAGAAGGCGUUGCUACACGCGUGCUUCAAGCAGCCUAGUAGCAGCAACAUGAGGUGUCCAAAGCAGGCGUCCAUCAUACUUUUGCAUGACAGGGCCAAUUUGAUUUCUCCUAUGCCAGCUUAGUGAGGGCUGCUUAUCAAAAGUACCCUGGAUGUUCCAUGAUGCCAUAGUACUGUCCAUUGUAGAUGACUCCAAUUUCCCUCAGCACCUCUCCACGAAGUGUGGCCUUGAUGGUCCAGUUGUGGAUGCCAGCACUUUCUCGCUCGCGCUCGAGGCGAUCUACAUCAACAAUUCGCGAUCCUAGGCGCUCCAAGAUGAUCCCAAUAUCCUUGACACUCAAAUGCCGGUCUUGCUCCAAUGACAGCUGAUCCACAAGGAGUAGGUACCUCUCGGAGAGCUGCUCUUCUUCGCAUGCCGUGUUUUCCGUAUCCGAUUCAGACUCUUCAUUGGGAGGGAUGCGGGUCUCUUCGGUGACAUCCAGGAAACGCACGUGCCCCUUCGCAGGCCCCCCCAUCGCAGCCCUCUGAUGUAGGCCCGAGGGUCCGGGAACGGACCCCUUUGGGAACUCCUGGAUCGGCGACGUCGCCACAGACCUGUUCACCUGGAUCUGAUGCGUGCCGUGCAACGCGGCACAAUGAAAAUCACAAAGUGUGUGGUCAUGGUCGGGGCUAACUUCACGCGAUCCACGAGGAAAGCUACGUGAUAUGGGUCGCGGCCCCAGCCCUUCAAGUGUUAGUCUAGUACGUGGUUCACUUGGCACUGCUGGGGUUGCUUCUUCUGUGGUCUGUACUUCCUGAGAUGAAACUUCGACACGAAUGAUUCCUGGAUCGUGGCUGCGCCUGUGGUGUCUUUCAUGCUGAUCCCAGUGCAGCACAACAGUGACACGACCCUUGUUGUCCAUGAUCUUCCACGACGGCUGCAUGUCCACAAGCUCAAGGGUUGCUAUGGCAUCACAGACAAUGCGAGGUAUUGCUGUGAUGGCUGAGGGGUAAGGAAGUGGACCAGAACAACUUGUUAGUCACUUGGCAGCUUCCCUCUCAUCCUUUUCUGUAUCAGUUACGACAUGCAUACUAUGUGCAACAUGCAUGUGGACCCUACACAACCCUAACACAUUCCCGUUCGGCACCUACACAAGUGCGUGUUUCUUUUGAAGUGUUUAAAGGCAUUUCUACUGUGUCUGUGCAUCUACUGUGUAGCACAUUACUGUGUUUCUACUGUGGAGCACAUUAUGAAUUGUAAAGCAAGAAAUACUUCUCGCCAUCCUUUUGUAAAGGAAUUACGCUCAUUCUAUGGUGCUCUGCACUGCUGUUUUUAGUCUUCCAUAAGCUUUCACCUACAAAGUCUGAAGUGUGCAGUUUUCUUGUAUAUUGUGCGGGACAAUCACAGGGGAACAGUGGGCAUGUGGCACCCCAAAAUUUCACAGCAAUGCUCCCUCAUAAAUUCAUGGCAGAAGGUUCAUAUGUCGUGUGCUACCAUUACUGGGGCCUUCCUGGACUGUGCAAGCCACUUUUUUCACCUUAGGUGCUUGUGCGUUAAAGGUAUACAUAUAGUAAAGCAUGCAUUGGAAACUGCAGGUUUCGAAUAUACAGCACAGUGUACAUGUGGAGAGCUGUGCUGUCAUUACCCAAAAUCUCCCAGGCCCACCUCCACCUUGCUAGUGCCCUUCCAUUAGUUAUGAACUUAUGUCACACCACAGACUCGACAACAGACACAUUAACAUUCAAAACAAAUUCUCCAUGCAGCUGAUGUGUUUGUGUAAAUAAACUUAAUGACAAAACAUAAAAAUUGAAACAAAUCUUUAUUGAAGGAACUUUUACAACAGAAGUAAUGAAUUACAAAUCAAUCUACUGAGAUCUAUAAACUAAAAUACCAGAACAUGCAUUCUACGUAAACACACACAAUCCCACAUGAAUUUGGAUAACAAGAGGCUGUGAUGUAACAAAAAAUAAAAAAAGAAGUGCAAAAAUAAUAGCAAAUAUAUAUAUAUAUAUUAAACGUAAUCAAUGAUAUAGCCAUAUCUUAGUAGAACAGUAACAUACAACGCUACAUGAAAAACAAAAGUGACACCAAGAACGCAUUCAAUGCUGGAACACAAAUUUAAGUAAUGGAAGCAACGUAACAAUGAAAAUGUAAGGAUCAUACAAAAUGAAUUAAAAUACCAAGUGCAGAUCAGUGAACGACGAGCUACAAAACUGCGUGUCUAUACCUUACAACCGUUCGUACUUCGAGCUAUGCUUAUAGUUCUUACCUGCUCUAAGGGCCUCAACUCCAGGUGGCAACCACUUUUCAUUUGGCUGUAACAUCUGGAAUACUGUGUCUCUCUCUGCUAACUGGAAGUAAUUUUCAUCCUCCACUUCUGUGCCAUCAAUUUCAAGGACGAUUUUGAGUUCUGAUGAGUUACUGUAUCCAAGUUUUGCAGCACCUGCAUGGAAAAGGGCACAUUCUGAAAAGUGAUGCUGUAAUUCAAGCACAACUAGCCCAGAUUAUCGUCAAAAGACCAUUUGUUUUACAAUGCCAGUCUUCAUGCUACUGAAUGCUUAUCGAGAGUUAAACAUCAAGAAAUGCCUCCAUUCAGUGAAGCAACUGCCGAGAAAGUUUUCCGCGAGAUUGUUCUCAAGACUAUAUAAAAUCUCUUGACAUUUACAUUGCUGAGAUUUACAUACAAUUUUGAUACACUUGUAUUAAAACUGUAUACAAUUUUGACAGAAUAGUAUACAAAAUAAAAAAGCACAAUUAUUGAACAAUUCCACACUGUACAACUGUUUGUUGUCACACACCUUUAUGAUCAUUUGGUAUAAAUCAAGUUUGACUAAUAUGUA